UUUUAUGGAGAGUUUGAUCCUGGCUCAGGAUGAACGCUGGCGGCGUGCCUAAUACAUGCAAGUCGAGCGAACGGACGAGAAGCUUGCUUCUCUGAUGUUAGCGGCGGACGGGUGAGUAACACGUGGAUAACCUACCUAUAAGACUGGGAUAACUUCGGGAAACCGGAGCUAAUACCGGAUAAUAUUUUGAACCGCAUGGUUCAAAAGUAAAAGACGGUCUUGCUGUCACUUAUAGAUGGAUCCGCGCUGCAUUAGCUAGUUGGUAAGGUAACGGCUUACCAAGGCAACGAUGCAUAGCCGACCUGAGAGGGUGAUCGGCCACACUGGAACUGAGACACGGUCCAGACUCCUACGGGAGGCAGCAGUAGGGAAUCUUCCGCAAUGGGCGAAAGCCUGACGGAGCAACGCCGCGUGAGUGAUGAAGGUCUUCGGAUCGUAAAACUCUGUUAUUAGGGAAGAACAUAUGUGUAAGUAACUGUGCACAUCUUGACGGUACCUAAUCAGAAAGCCACGGCUAACUACGUGCCAGCAGCCGCGGUAAUACGUAGGUGGCAAGCGUUAUCCGGAAUUAUUGGGCGUAAAGCGCGCGUAGGCGGUUUUUUAAGUCUGAUGUGAAAGCCCACGGCUCAACCGUGGAGGGUCAUUGGAAACUGGAAAACUUGAGUGCAGAAGAGGAAAGUGGAAUUCCAUGUGUAGCGGUGAAAUGCGCAGAGAUAUGGAGGAACACCAGUGGCGAAGGCGACUUUCUGGUCUGUAACUGACGCUGAUGUGCGAAAGCGUGGGGAUCAAACAGGAUUAGAUACCCUGGUAGUCCACGCCGUAAACGAUGAGUGCUAAGUGUUAGGGGGUUUCCGCCCCUUAGUGCUGCAGCUAACGCAUUAAGCACUCCGCCUGGGGAGUACGACCGCAAGGUUGAAACUCAAAGGAAUUGACGGGGACCCGCACAAGCGGUGGAGCAUGUGGUUUAAUUCGAAGCAACGCGAAGAACCUUACCAAAUCUUGACAUCCUUUGACAACUCUAGAGAUAGAG
rnacentral:rRNA from 1 species